UACGAAGGGGGCUAGCGUUGUUCGGAAUUACUGGGCGUAAAGCGUGCGUAGGCGGGUAGAUUAGUCAGAUGUGAAAUCCCAAGGCUCAACCUUGGAACUGCAUUUGAAACUGUCUAUCUAGAGACAUGGAGAGGUUAGUGGAAUACCGAGUGGAGAGGUGAAAUUCGUAGAUAUUCGGUGGAACACCAGUGGCGAAGGCGACUAACUGGACAUGUACUGACGCUGAGGCACGAAAGUGUGGGGAGCAAACAGG
rnacentral:rRNA from 1 species